UUCGCUUUGUUGUAAUUUCAGAGCAAGCAAUUUGCUUGAUUUACAACGUUAAAAUAGUAAUUUUGCCCCACUCUGUGCAUUAUGAACUCAGCUCUCCUUAGCAGAUCAUUCAGCUCUGUUCGACUUGUGACUAGAAGAGUAUGUGGAAACACUGGUUGC